UACGAAGGGGGCUAGCGUUGCUCGGAAUCACUGGGCGUAAAGGGUGCGUAGGCGGGUCUUAAGUCAGGGGUGAAAUCCUGGAGCUCAACUCCAGAACUGCCUUUGAUACUGAAGAUCUUGAGUUCGGGAGAGGUGAGUGGAACUGCGAGUGUAGAGGUGAAAUUCGUAGAUAUCGCAAGAACACCAGUGGCGAAGGCGGCUCACUGGCCCGAUACUGACGCUGAGGCAC
rnacentral:rRNA from 1 species